rnacentral:rRNA from 1 species
CCUACGGGAGGCAGCAGUGGGGAAUAUUGGACAAUGGGGGCAACCCUGAUCCAGCGAUGCCGCGUGAGUGAUGAAGGCCUUCGGGUUGUAAAGCUCUUUUGUGGGGGACGAUGAUGACGGUACCCCACGAAUAAGCCCCGGCUAACUUCGUGCCAGCAGCCGCGGUAAUACGAAGGGGGCUAGCGUUGUUCGAAAUGACUGGGCGUAAAGGGUGCGUAGGCGGUUUAAUAAGUUUGGUGUGAAAGUCCUGGGCUCAACCUGGGGAUUGCACUGGAAACUAUUAGACUAGAGAUCGAGAGAGGAAAAUGGAAUUGCGAGUGUAGAGGUGAAAUUCGUAGAUAUUCGCAAGAACACCGGUGGCGAAGGCGGUUUUCUGGCUCGAUACUGACGCUAAGGCACGAAAGCGUGGGGAGCAAACAGGAUUAGAUACCCUGGUAGUCCACGCUGUAAACGAUGAAUGCUAGAUGUUGGGGGGUCAACCGUUUCAGUGUCGUAGUUAACGCGAUAAGCAUUCCGCCUGGGGAGUACGGUCGCAAGAUUAAAACUUAAAUGAAUUGACGG